rnacentral:rRNA from 1 species
CCUACGGGAGGCAGCAGUGAGGAAUAUUGGUCAAUGGGCGGAAGCCUGAACCAGCCAAGUCGCGUGCGGGAUGAAGGCCCUACGGGUCGUAAACCGCUUUUGCACGGGGAUAAAACCCUCCACUUGUGGCGGUCUGCCGGUACCGUUCGAAUAAGGGCCGGCUAAUUCCGUGCCAGCAGCCGCGGUAAUACGGAAGGCCCGAGCGUUAUCCGGAUUCAUUGGGGUAAAAGGGGGCGUAGGCGGGCGUUCAAGUCAGCUGUAAAAUGGCGCGGCUCAACCGCGCCUCGCAGUUGAAACUGGACGCCUUGAGUUAACAACAGGCAGGCGGAAUUCGUGGUGUAGCGGUGAAAUGCAUAGAUAGCACGAGGAACCCCGAUUGCGAAGGCAGCCUGCCGGGGUGCGACUGACGCUGAGGCUCGAAGGUGCGGGUAUCAAACAGGAUUAGAUACCCCUGUAGUC